rnacentral:misc_RNA from 1 species
AACGCACAUUGCGCUCCCUGGUAUUCCGGGGAGCAUGCCUGUUCGAGCGUCAUUAUCAACCAUCAAGCUCUGCUUGGAAUUGGGCGUCGUCCGUACGGACGUGCCUUAAACGCCUCGGCGGCGGUUUCAAACCUCAAGCGUAGUAAAAUCUUUUCAGCUUUCUAGGUUUGGGACCGUUUUUGCCUCGAGAACCCUCUCACCUCAAGGUUGACCUCGGAUCAGGUAGGGAUACCCGCUGAACUUAA